UUUAGAUAUUAUAUGACAUCUACAAAAAUUAUUAUUAAGAUAUAAUUAUAGAAUCUAGACUAGUUAUUUAUGUACAUAAAAUAUAUAAAUAAAAGAUAAAAUUUAUGCAGGCCUAGAUCCCAUAAAUUUAUAAUUGAUCCAGAUCUAUCAGUAAAAGUUACCUUCAAUGGGAAGUUUUACCCAAUCUAAACUAUACAAGACAAUUUAUAAUCCAUGCCUCGCCUACACCCCAUACAUUAAAUAAUAGUUCCCAUUCCAUGCCAUGUCCAGACCCAUGAGUUCAUGAAGUAAUAAAUGAUGUGGUGUCAAGUUGGAUCUAUCCCCUGAAAUUCAGCACUUUAAUAUAAAACUCACAUAUCUAGUUAAUUAUUUGCUAUGACACUCUGAUCAACUUGGACUUGUGUGAUACAUAUAGGCCUAUGUUUCUUAUCAGAUUUAAUGAAUGAAGUUUUGGUGCAUUUUAAGGCUACAAAAGUAUCAUCAGGUGCAUUCUAACCAUUGGUAUUUUUCGUGGCAACAUUUUUAUUCUAGUCUGUGAUAAAUUAUAAAUUUAAAAAAAUGUUUGUAAUGUUUCAGUUAUUAACAAGUAGAACCAUGCCAACCAGUUCUGAUGAUGUACCAGAAUGGCUCAAGGAUCAUACUUAUACUAUUUCUACUCUCUGGGCAGACAUUAAUAAUAUUGGCAUCCAUUCAAUAUUUAUUUUAUGUUUGGAAAUACAAGUAAAAGGCAUGCAUUCCUGACAAGUCAAUGACUGGUUGCACCUCUUAAAGAUAACUUUCUGUUAUGAGAAAAGAUGAGAUUCUUGGACUCCUGCAUAGCACCACCAGAAAGGAAAAUCCCAUCAUGUUGCAAAAUAAAAGUCUUGGACCAAUUUUAAUUUAAGAUAUAUAUAUUAUACUGUAAGCUCUAUACAUAUUUAUGUAUAUCCGUCAUUCAGCCAACAGGUUUGGAUUUAGUAUUUCUUUAAAUCUGUUUGAUAUUGUACUUGAAAACUAUUAAUCUGAGCCACAUUAAAACAAUAGUGAGUGCAGUGAAUGAGUGGUAAAGCACUUGGCUUCUGAACUGAGUGUUCCUGGGUUCGAUUAAGACUGGGAUUUUCAAUUUCAGAAUUCAAAAGGCUGGGGAUCCAUGGUUGAAUGGUUAAGUCAUGGGUUUGAAUCUCUGUGAAGACUCAGAUUAAAAUUUUUUAGAUUUUUGGGUGCCCCUGAGUCCACCUAACUCUAAUGGGUAGCUGACUUUCGUUUUGGAUAGUAAAGAUGGUUGGUUGUUGUGCUGGCCACAUGAUGCACUGGCCAAAGAAUCAAAUGACCUUAACAUCAUCUGCCCUAUAGGUUGUGACGUCUGAAAUGGGAUUUUUUUUCAAAAGGUGGUUGGUUGUUGUGCUGGGUACAUGACACCCUCGCUAACCAUGGGGCACAGAAACUGAUAAACUUUAUAUCAUCUGCCCCAUAGAUUGCAAGAUAUGUAAGGGAAAUUUUACUUUUUUAAAAUUAAAAUAAGAAUCUAUCAAAAGUAAACAUAAAAUAUGGUGCAUUCUCCUUAAAACUAAAACCUGGUGCGAAGGUUUAAAAUGUUGGCAAAAAAAAGCAACAUCAUAUAUUCUUAAUUCCCUUUGCAAAACUUACUGAGAAGAACAUGCAUGUUGUUCCCUCAUAAGUUUCUUGACAGAGGAAAUCUUGUUUAUAUUAGAUUUGAAUUAAGCAAAUUAAGAAAAAAAUUAUAAUCAAUUUUUCAAAUGGUUGUAUCUAAACCUUAUGAAUUAUUUUUCAGUUAUAAGUAUAUUGAGAUUAAUGGAUAAUCAUGAAAUUGUUAAAUAAUUGCUGCUAUCAUUCCAUUGACUAAAGAACCAUAAUUUUUUUUUUUUUAAAUUAAUUUCAAAAUGAUUUUUUUCAAGCAUAGAGUUCACAUAGAUCUUGAGUGAAUUUUUUUUUUAUUUGACUAAUGCUUCAAUUUUAUUGUAUCAUAUUAGUUGUUAAUUUUUAUUACCCAGAAUAUUUAAAAAAAUGAGUACACUAUUUUCAUGUAAUAAUGUAACUUGGUAUUCACACAAUGCUCAAAAUACACCAUAAUCUUUAGGCCAUACAGAUUUGUAUAAAUUAACUUGUUUAAAUACAUUGUAAAUGUAUAUUGUUUGGAUAAGAAUAAAGUUUUUCUGUAGACAAUUAUUGUUCAAGAUUUGUUGAUGCUCCUGCUUAAUCAAUUAUAUAUACAGGUCAUUAGUUUUAACACGUCUGAUAAUAAAUGACAGUACAAGUUAGUGAAUGAAAAUUUGUCAUUAUUUCAGCUGCUUUAGUCCUACAUCAAUGUGAGGUACCAGUACUUUGAUUGUGUCAUAUAACAAUUUAAAGCAACAUUUUGAAAUGAAUAGUCUGUAGAAUUGACAGUAAAUACAUUUAAGUGAUGGGCUGUGAUCUGCGUGAAUUGGGAGCUGAUCAUGUAUUGAAUUUGUGUUUUUGAUCUUUACUUCAAGUAAAUGUUAAUGAGCAAUUAAUUUUUAAUGAAUAAAUAAUUUAAAAAUAAAUACAAAAGAACCAUAAA